CUCGGGCCGAUAUUCUCCCAGUAUGGCCCUCAUGCUUGGUUAAUAAGAUAUAUAUAUCUAACUCCCUUUUCUACUUAUUAAAGCAGUUUAACUGUUUGUUACCUCCCAGCUUAACCCUCCCUUUUCUACUGAUUAAAGCACUCUCACUGUUUGUAACAUUUCCAGACGGCGAGUCAUGGGUUUGAAUCCCAUAAAGAAUACCACACUUUUGGCUCAGUGCAAGACAGUGUCUCUUGGGUUUGAAUCCAUAAUGAGAAUAAAAUGCUUUGAUUUUUAAAGUUCCAGAGAGUGUUGUCAAGGGUUGGAGUCCCAUAAAGAAAACCAUACUUUUGCUCAGGCAAGUUUCUUGAACGUUCUACUGACAAAAGUACUUUCUGAGGCAACACUGUGUCUUGGGCUUGAAUUCCAAUUUAAGAUUGAAAUGCUUCUCUUAAAACUUAGUUCCUUUGCUACUUAAAUAAUUUCUUUUACGGUCUGUCAGCCAGUGCAAGACAGUGUGUUGUGGGUUUGAAUUCAAUGCAAUAUUAAAAUACUUUUGCAAAAGCAAGUUCUUUAUCUACUUAUAAAAGGACUUUCAGUCAGUGCAAGACAUGGUCUCUUAAUUAGCUUUGAAACCACGAUAUUAGUUAAUACUUUAGUUUAAGUAAGUUCCUUUAAUUUCUAUUUAUAGAAGGACUUUCACUGUCUGUUACAGUGCAAGACAGUACGCGACUCUUGGGUUUUUAAUCCCAUACAAGAUGAAAGUACUUUUACUUCAGCAAGUUCCUUUUCCACUGAUAAAAGUUCUUUCACUGUCUGUUAACCAGUGUUAGGAGUUCAUCAUAGAUUUGAAGCCAUUACAUUUAAAAUGCUUCAGUCUACUAUAGUGGGUUAUAUUAUAAUUUACUAUAAUUAUAUAAAAACACUUUCACUGUCUCAAACAGUGGAAGACAGCGUCUCUCUGGGUUUGUAUCCCUAAUACAAGAUCAAAAUAGUUACUUUUAAUAUGCCAAGUUGAGUUCAUUUCUACCUCUAAAAGCACUUUCAUUUUCUGUUUCAGUGCAAGCCAGAGUGUUUUGGGCUUGAAUACCACACACGAUUAAAAUACUUCUGCCGUAUUGAGUUCCUUUUCUACUGAGAAAAGCACUGUUAUUAAUAAUCAGUUUAAUUACUCUUUUUGUAGCUUACAGCUAAAUUAUAAGAGUGGGUUCAUCUCUAAGAGUGCCUGAGCGUAGAUGGUAUCCAUGGGACACAGUUGUGCAAUGUGGCAGCAAGUUAGCAUGGACACCACUGUUUCAGUUGCCCAAGUGCAAUAUAGUUUGUCUUGCGUUUGAAUCCCACAUAAGGUUGAAAUACUGUUUGCUAAUUAAUAUAUAUAAAGUGAGUUAUUUUACUUAUAAUUAUGUACAUAAAAAGUUUCUCUUUCCAUUACUGCACAAGAUAGUGGGUCAUGAGCUUUAAUUCCAUAUUUAAGAUUAAUAUAACUUUGCUUAUAAACUGGGUUCCUUUCCUUCUGAUGGAAGUACUUUCACUGUCUGUUUUCCAGUACAAGACAGUUUGUCUUGCGUUUGAAUCCCAUAUAAAUAAUUAUUUAAAACACUUUGCUAUUAUAAUUAUUUACCUCAGUUUUCUACUGAUUAAAGCACUCUCAGUGUCACUUUGUUACAGUAUAGUUCAGUGGGUCAUGAUCUCGAAUCCCAUAUAAGAUUAGUACAAUUAUUUAAGAUUAAACUGCUUUUGCCAUUGUGAGUUCCUCUUCUAGGGACGAAAUUCUUUCACUGUUUGUUGCACAGUUCCAGAGGGUGUCAUAGGUUUGAAUCCCAAAGAAUGCCAUACUUUCACUUAAGUGAGCUUCUUUAGUAUUCUACUAGUACUUUAAAGUAUUCAGAGUCUGUUAACUGAGGCAAGACAGUGUGUCCUGGGCUUGAAUCCCUUACAAUAUUAAAAUACUUUUGCUAAACUGAGUUCCUUUGCUGCUGAUAAAAUUUCUUUCACUGUCCAUGUGCAAGAACAGUAUGUCAAGGGGUUUGAAUCCCAUACAAGAUUAAAAUACUCUUGCUACUUAAAAGUGAAUCCUUUUUCUACUAAUAAAACGACUUUCAUCCUUUCUUACAGUCCAAGAUUUAGUGUCUCUUAAAUUUGGUUUAAUUGCCAUAUACAAUAAAAAUGCUUUCACUAAGGUGGGUUAUUUUCUGUGUAUAAAAGCGCUUUCACUUUCUGUCUCAGUGCAAGAGAUUAUGGGCUUGAAUCCCAUAUAAAUUUAGAACACUUUUGCUAUAUUAGCUGACCUCCCUUUUCUACCGAAUAAAGCACUUUCACUGUCUGUUACCCCACAGUGCAAGACUGUGUGCGUGUCUUGGGUUUGAAUCCCAUAUAAGAUUUAAACACAUUUCCUAAAAUAAGUUUCUUUUCUUCUGAUAAAAGGACUAUUGCUGUAAUGUUACCCUGUAGUGCAAGACAGUAUCUUAUGGGUAGACCUAUUAAUUUUAAGAUGAAAAUACUUUUGCAAUAGCAAGUUCCUUUUAUACUGAUAAAAGUUCUUUCACUGUCUGUAACUGAAAGUGCAAGACAGCGUGUCUAAUUGGGUGUGAAACUGGACAAGAUUAAAAUGCUUUUGCCAUU